GAUGAACGCUAGCUACAGGCUUAACACAUGCAAGUCGAGCGACCGGCGCACGGGUGAGUAACACGUAUCCAACCCGCCCUUUACUCGGGGAUAGCCUUUCGAAAGAAAGAUUAAUACCCGACAUAAAGGAUGGGGAUGCGUUUCAUUAGGUUGUUGGUAAGGUAACGGCACACCAAGCCUUCGAUGGAUAGGGGUGCUGAGAGGAAGGUCCCCCAGAUUGGAAACGAGACACGGACCAAACUCGGAGCGGAAGCAGGAGUUAGGAGUAUAGGGCAAUGAGGCUUAGCGUGAACCAGCCGAGUAGCGAGAAGGAUGAAGGGUUAUGAGUCGUAAACUACUUUUAUAUAAGAAUAUGUAUUAUAAGAAUAAGGAUCGGCUAACUCCGUGCCAGCAGCCGCGGUAAUUC
rnacentral:rRNA from 1 species